GUGGUGUGUGUGUGAUGGGUGUGUAACGUGUGUGGUAUGUUGGGUGUGUAACGUGUGUGGUAUGUUGGGUGUGUGUGGCGUGUAUGUGGUGUGUUGUGCCGUUGCAGUGUGCGGGGCGCCGGUGCGUGUCUGGUGUCUUCCCCUGGAUCUAGCGCUCUGAUCCUCCCGAGGUGCUCCCUCCGGGCCAGUCUUGUCGCUGACCCAGC
rnacentral:lncRNA from 1 species